GGCCGCGAAUUCGCCCUUAGGGUUUGAUCAUGGCUCAGAGUGAACGCUGGCGGUAGGCCUAACACAUGCAAGUCGAACGGCAGCACAGGAGAGCUUGCUCUCUGGGUGGCGAGUGGCGGACGGGUGAGGAAUACAUCGGAAUCUACUCUGUCGUGGGGGAUAACGUAGGGAAACUUACGCUAAUACCGCAUACGACCUACGGGUGAAAGCAGGGGACCUUCGGGCCUUGCGCGAUUGAAUGAGCCGAUGUCGGAUUAGCUAGUUGGCGGGGUAAAGGCCCACCAAGGCGACGAUCCGUAGCUGGUCUGAGAGGAUGAUCAGCCACACUGGAACUGAGACACGGUCCAGACUCCUACGGGAGGCGGCAGUGGGGAAUAUUGGACAAUGGGCGCAAGCCUAAUCCAGCCAUACCGCGUGGGUGAAGAA
rnacentral:rRNA from 1 species